AACGAACGCUGGCGGCAGGCUUAACACAUGCAAGUCGAGCGCCCCGCAAGGGGAGCGGCAGACGGGUGAGUAACGCGUGGGAACGUACCCUUAUCUUCGGGAUAGCCCCGGGAAACUGGAAUUAAUACCGAAUGUGCCCUUUGGGGGUAAGAUUUAUCGGAUAAGGAUCGGCCCGCGUUGGAUUAGCUAGUUGGUGGGGUAAAGGCCUACCAAGGCGACGAUCCAUAGCUGGUGUGAGAGGAUGAUCAGCCACAUUGGGACUGAGACACGGCCCAAACUCCUACGGGAGGCAGGAGUGGGGGAUAUUGGACAAUGGGGGCAAGCCUGAUCCAGCCAUGCCGCGUGAGUGAUGAAGGCCUUAGGGUUGUAAAGCUCUUUCACCGGAGAAGAUAAUGACGGUACCCGGAGAAGAAGCCCCGGCUAACUUCGUG
rnacentral:rRNA from 1 species